GACGAACGCUGGUGGCGUGCUUAACACAUGCAAGUCGAGCGGAAAGGCCCUUCGGGGUACUCGAGCGGCGAACGGGUGAGUAACACGUGAGUAACCUGCCCCAGACUUUGGGAUAACCCUCGGAAACGGGGGCUAAUACCGGAUACGACACAGCUUCGCAUGGGGUCUGUGUGGAAAGUUUUUCGGUUUGGGAUGGGCUCGCGGCCUAUCAGCUUGUUGGUGGGGUGAUGGCCUACCAAGGCGACGACGGGUAGCCGGCCUGAGAGGCGACCGGCCACACUGGGACUGAGACACGGCCCAGACUCCUACGGGAGGCAGCAGUGGGGAAUAUUGCACAAUGGGCGGAAGCCUGAUGCAGCGACGCCGCGUGAGGGAUGACGGCCUUCGGGUUGUAAACCUCUUUCAGCAGGGACGAAGCGUAAGUGACGGUACCUGCAGAAGAAGCGCCGGCCAACUACGUG
rnacentral:rRNA from 1 species